UGCCACUCUACUCAUCUGAGUUUAUAUAUAAACAAGAGUCCUUUGUUUGCUGUGGAAGCAAAACGUUCUUUCACGAUGCAUGUACUCACAAGUCUCGUUGUUUGUGUGGCUCUCAUCUGUGUGGCCAACACGGCGUUAUGGCAAGGUCACGGAUGCCCAGACGGUCAUAGCCCAGGUGAAACAUUUUAUGUUCCUCACUGUUCACAGUGCACGUGUGGAGAAAGCACUUAUGAAUGCAGCAGCUGUGGCUCUUCGGCAGUUCACCUCGACAGUGAAGAAUGUCAUGUGGAGUUUGACUUGAGCCAGCCUUACCCUGCCUGUUGUCGUCCAAGAAUGAUCUGCAACGAUGGGAAGUGAUAACGGAGGAUGUGACGUUUUGACAUAAUAAAGCCCUAAGACAUGUACUGUUCACACUAGAGAAGACGGGCUUUAAAAUGUACAAAAGAAGUGAAGGAUUAUGUAGGCCUACAUAAAAACACAAGCAGAAACUCAUUAGACAAAAACAGAAAACAACUGCGACCACAGUAAAAUGGGUCAUUGUUUUCUGAAAGUGUGUUUGCAAGCUUUGUGUAAAUAUACAAAAAUAAACCGUGAUCAUGACGAUCAUUAAAAA